rnacentral:rRNA from 1 species
CGGGUGAGUAACGCGUGGGUAACCUGCCUCAUACAGGGGGAUAACAGUUAGAAAUGACUGCUAAUACCGCAUAAGCGCACAGUACCGCAUGGUACAGUGUGAAAAACUCCGGUGGUGUGAGAUGGAUCCGCGUCUGAUUAGCCAGUUGGCGGGGUAACGGCCCACCAAAGCGACGAUCAGUAGCCGACCUGAGAGGGUGACCGGCCACAUUGGGACUGAGACACGGCCCAA